UACGAAGGGGGCUAGCGUUGCUCGGAAUCACUGGGCGUAAAGGGUGCGUAGGCGGGUCUUAAGUCAGGGGUGAAAUCCUGGAGCUCAACUCCAGAACUGCCUUUGAUACUGAGGAUCUUGAGUUCGGGAGAGGUGAGUGGAACUGCGAGUGUAGAGGUGAAAUUCGUAGAUAUUCGCAAGAACACCAGUGGCGAAGGCGGCUCACUGGCCCGGUACUGACGCUGAGGUGGCGAAAGCGUGGGGAGCAAACAGGG
rnacentral:rRNA from 1 species